GAUGAACGCUGGCGGCGUGCCUAAUACAUGCAAGUCGAGCGAACAGACGAGGAGCUUGCUCCUCUGACGUUAGCGGCGGACGGGUGAGUAACACGUGGAUAACCUACCUAUAAGACUGGGAUAACUUCGGGAAACCGGAGCUAAUACCGGAUAAUAUAUUGAACCGCAUGGUUCAAUAGUGAAAGACGGUUUUGCUGUCACUUAUAGAUGGAUCCGCGCCGCAUUAGCUAGUUGGUAAGGUAACGGCUUACCAAGGCGACGAUGCGUAGCCGACCUGAGAGGGUGAUAGGCCACACUGGAACUGAGACGCGGUCCAGACUCCUACGGGAGGCAGCAGUAGGGAAUCUUCCGCAAUGGGCGAAAGCCUGACGGAGCAACGCCGCGUGAGUGAUGAAGGUCUUCGGAUCGUAAAACUCUGUUAUUAGGGAAGAACAAAUGUGUAAGUAACUAUGCACGUCUUGACGGUACCUAAUCAGAAAGCCACGGCUAACUACGUG
rnacentral:rRNA from 1 species